CCUACGGGAGACAGCAGUGAGGAAUAUUGGUCAAUGGACGAGAGUCUGAACCAGCCAAGUAGCGUGAAGGAUGACUGCCCUAUGGGUUGUAAACUUCUUUUAUAUGGGAAUAAAAUGUUCCACGUGUGGGUUUUUGUAUGUACCAUAUGAAUAAGGAUCGGCUCACUCCGUGCCAGCAGCCGCGGUAAUACGGAGGAUCCGAGCGUUAUCCGGAUUUAUUGGGUUUAAAGGGAGCGUAGGUGGAUUGUUAAGUCAGUUGUGAAAGUUUGCGGCUCAACCGUAAAAUUGCAGUUGAAACUGGCAGUCUUGAGUACAGUAGAGGUGGGCGGAAUUCGUGGUGUAGCGGUGAAAUGCUUAGAUAUCACGAAGAACUCCGAUUGCGAAGGCAGCUCACUGGACUGCCACUGACACUGAGGCUCGAAAGUGUGGGUAUCAAACAGGAUUAGAUACCCUUGUAGUC
rnacentral:rRNA from 1 species